rnacentral:rRNA from 1 species
AACGAACGCUGGCGGCAUGCCUAACACAUGCAAGUCGAACGGGACAUGCGGGACUAGUGGCGCACGGCUGAGUAACGCGUGGGAAGCUGCCAUUAGGUUCGGAAUAACGCCCUGAAAUGGCGGCUAAUACCGGAUAAUUUCUUCGGGCGAAAGAAUUAUCGGCUUUGGUUGGGGCGGCGUUGGGUUAGCUAGUUGGUAGGGUAAAAGCCGACCAAGGAGCCGAUGCAUAGCUGGUUAGAGAGGAUGAUCACCAACCCUGGGACUGAUACACGGCCCAGACGCCUACGGAAGGCAGCAGUGGUGAAUAUUGGACGACGGGCGAAAGCAUGAUCCAUCCGUGUCGCGUGGGUGAUGCAGGCGUUAGGAUUGUAAUGAUAUUUUACCCGGAAUGAUACUGACGGUACCGUGAGAAUAAGCUCCGGCUAACUCCGUG